rnacentral:rRNA from 1 species
GACGAACGCUGGCGGCGUGCUUAACACAUGCAAGUCGAACGGAAAGGCCCUGCUUUUGUGGGGUGCCGGGUGGCGAAAGGGGGAGGAAACAGGGGAGUAACCGGCCCUGGAUUUUGGGAUAACUUAAGGAAACGGGGCUUAUACCCGGAUAGGAGCCCCGCUGGCAGGGGGGGGGUGGGAAGUUUUGGGCGGUGGGGGUUGGACUCGCGGCUUAUCAGCUGGUGGGUGGGGUAGUGGCUUACCAAGGCUUUGACGGGUAGCCGGCCUGAGAGGGUGACCGGCCACAUUGGGACUGAGAUACGGCCCAGACUCCUACGGGAGGCAGCAGUGGGGAAUAUUGCACAAUGGGCGGAAGCCUGAUGCAGCAACGCCGCGUGCGGGAUGACGGCCUUCGGGUUGUAAACCGCUUUCGCCUGUGACGAAGCGUGAGUGACGGUAAUGGGUAAAGAAGCACCGGCUAACUACGUG